CUCAUCUUCUUACUCCCUCUUCCACAGGCAAGCGAAAGUGACCUAAGAUGAUGUGGAAGUUCUUAAGAAACGCCUGGACCUGGAAAGCCUAGUCCCUUUUCCUGUGUUUCUCUAGGAAGAAAGAUGCUGCAGUAGGCUUUGUAUUAAAGGCCAGGACUCAUCCUACUCUGAAAUUUGGCCAAGUGACCACCUUGUCCCACACUCAAGUAUAGACUCUCAAGACCUUAACCUUAUGAUGACAAGAAGAGGCAAAUAAAGGAAAAGAGUCAAGAAUUCCAGAGAAAAUGAUAUUCUUGGAGCUGCUGGUAUCCUUCGAGCUUCGUAUGACUUUGAAAGAAAAAAAAUACCCACUUAAUCCUGAGUGCCUCCAAAUCAUAUUUGCUGAUAAACCCUGGAUUUAAGUUGUAAACAAAUUAAAGAUUAAAAACUUUCCUUUGGCA
rnacentral:lncRNA from 1 species